rnacentral:rRNA from 1 species
CUUGGUCAUUUAGAGGAAGUAAAAGUCGUAACAAGGUCUCCGUUGGUGAACCAGCGGAGGGAUCAUUACAGAGUCGUAAAACACUCCCAACCCAUGUGAACUUACCAUUGUUGCCUCGGCGGACCUACCCGGUAGCUAGCUACCCUGUAGACCGCCGGUGGACCAUUAAACUCUGUUAUUCUAUGGAUAUCUGAGCGUCUUAUUUAAUAAGUUAAAACUUUCAACAACGGAUCUCUUGGUUCUGGCAUCGAUGAAGAACGCAGCGAAAUGCGAUAAGUAAUGUGAAUUGCAGAAUUCAGCGAAUCAUCGAAUCUUUGAACGCACAUUGCGCCCAUUAGUAUUCUAUUGGGCAUGCCUGUUCGAGCGUCAUUUUGACCACUUAAGCCUGGCUUAGUGUUGGGAAUCUACGUUUGUAGUUCCUUAAAUCUAGUGGCGGAGCCGCAGUGGCCUCUGAGCGUAGUAAUUUUUUCUCGCUUUGGAAGGUUCUGUAGUUUUUGCCAUAAAACCCCCAAUUUUUUAAGGUUGACCUCGGAUCAGGUAGGAAUACCCGCUGAACUUAAGCAUAUCAAUAAGGGGAGGA